UUGCUAUGGCUGCACAUAUGGUAAAAUUGGAUGGAAACAGGGAAGAUUAGGAUGGCCCCUGCAAAAGGAUGACACGCAAAUCCGUGAAGUGCUCCAUAUUUUU
ensembl:snRNA U6 U6 spliceosomal RNA